rnacentral:snRNA from 1 species
GUGCUUGCUUCGGCAGCGCAUAUACUAAAAUUGGAACGAUACAGGUUAGCAUGGCCCCUGUGCAAAGGA